rnacentral:rRNA from 1 species
GGGUUGGAUGAGUGGCGAACGGGUGAGUAACACGUGAGUAACCUGCCCUCUUCUUUGGGAUAACGGUCGGAAACGGCUGCUAAUACCGGGUAUUCACUGUCCUUCGCAUGGGGGGUGGUGGAAAGGUUUUUUCUGGUGGGGGAUGGGCUCGCGGCCUAUCAGCUUGUUAGUGGGGUGAUGGCUUACCAAGGCUUUGACGGGUAACCGGCCUGAGAGGGUGACCGGUCACAUUGGGACUGAGAUACGGCCCAG